rnacentral:lncRNA from 1 species
CCCCUUUGACAUUGAUCUUUUCGCGUCACACACCAAUCACCAGCUGCCACAAUACUAUUCCCGCUUUUUCACGCCAGAUACCGCGGGUGUAGAUGCCUUUCGGUUCCACUGGGGGCGGAAUUGCUGGGUGAAGGUCCUGCGGCACGCAGAGCUGUGCAAAGCACGCAUCUGUCUGAUCGUUCCCCUCUGGCCGACACACGACUGGUGGUCCUAUCUGACUCAAGACGGGAAGUGGUUUGCGCCUUGCGUCCACGGCCUAAGAGAGCUGGGCAAGGCGUAUGAUCUUUUCCUGCCAGGGUCUUCGGGAAACGAGGUCCCAAAAGGGUCCGCUAACUGGCUAUCGCUCGCACUUCUCAUCGAUUUCCAAACACCUUCCCCGCGCUGGAUCGCUGUGCCCCCCGACCCUUAUGCCCCCCGGCUUUCACAGGAAUAAGGGCACGCGUGCAGACACUGCUUGGCCAGGUGCCCUUGGACGCUAACCCAAUGAUCGGCGAUCUAGCUCUGGCGUUGGCAAGCCAGGCACACAAGGUGCGAGCUAGCAGCACAGUCGCCCAGUACAAGGAGCCAUGGCAGGAGUUCCUAGAUUGGGCAGAGCUACUACAUAUUCGGGCGAGCGACAUUUACGACAUCAGGCCAGAGAUAGUGGCCAUGUACCUGAUGCACGUCUACCAAACCGUGCAAGCGGAUGAAGUAGGUCCGGGUCGCAUCGCGGGAGCGAGCGCUGCUAUUGCCUGCCAUUUCUUCCUCACGGGCCGCCCCUCACCUACGGAGCACCCAGCAUGCAACCUCGUUCGGGACCUGGGCAGGCGCACACUGCAAGGGAAGAAGCUGCACAGGGAAAGCAUGCAACCAGAGCAUGUCCGCAUGUUGGCCGCUCACUUCGCUGGGCCGGAUGCCUCACUGCCAGACCUGAUGAUGGUAGCGGCCAUAUCAGUUAUGUUCGCGGGUUUCCUAAGGUUCAACGACCUAGCCCACAUCUCCGUCAAGUCUGAUCUGCUCACCCUGCACGACACUCACAUGGCCAUCACACUGCCUAGGUCCAAAACGGACCAGGAGGGCAAAGGGCAGACCAUCCGGAUCGCGCGCGUG